CCUGAUGGUGAAGAAGCACCUGAUGACCAGAACUCAUUCAAGAGCUCUUUUGUCCUUCCAAAACAGGGUCUUGAUGUCCCCCUUACAGAAAAAUGUUCAUACAUGUUCCUGCAUGAUGUGUGUGUGCAUGUUGGAUGGUCAUAUUCUAGUGUACUAGCUAGCUAGUAAGCUUGUUUUGCUACCGGAUGAUUGGAUGUCAUCUCAGUUUUUACCUCAUGUAGCCGACCACCUAAUUUGUAGGUAAAGAUACCGUUGGCAUAUAUUAUCAGCAGCAUUUUUUCAUAAACAAAAUAAAAAAUGUUGAUUUAGAUCUACAAUGUGUAUUAUGUCCAUGUUGUUGGCUAGAUGGUAAUGGCUCAUCAGAAUACACACACACACAUGAACGCUAUUAUUUCUCUUCAGAGAAACCAAGCCAGUAUUCUGAUCCUCCUAGCCAUUGCACAUGCCUGUAUUCAUAUGGCCAUUGUGGAUAAUUCUAUGCUUUAAUAGUUCUCCUUAUAUAUCACUGUUUAUUAGUAGGAGAUUUCUUCUGCUUGGCCAUAACAACAAUUUCAUGUUGUUUCUUUUGUAAUUCGAUGGUUGACAAUCUCAUAUAUUACACUAGCUAAUAUAUUACAACGGAAUGAAUCAACUACUCUCAUGGUCGAUCCCAUCCCAUCUAGCAUUAUUUACUGUCUAUCUGUCUGUAUGUAUUUACUCUGGAAAAAAUUCAGUCUGCACAUCUGCAUCUGCAUUGCACAAGUACAGAUGCAUCCGCCCCUGCUAUUUUCUUGUUAUACAUUACAUAGAUGCAUACAUACGCCAAGCUAUUUCCGUGUCUAUCUGUCUGACCUCUCAAGGAUGCAUAUCUCGUUUGUAUGUACUGAAUUUUGUGACAAUUUCGUUUUCCUCAUACUUACAGGAUGCUGCGCUCGCUACUUACAUGUUUUCUGAUGCCGCAACAAAGGACUAUAUGUGGUUUCUUCAGUGGGACUGUUGCUAUCACUCCUCAUGUUCAAUAACAUUUCAGCAUUGGACCUGCUAGUCACCCAAGCCAAGCCUCGCAUCGCUUCAACAAAGCGAUACUUCUUCCAAUCAACCCCUACUUCGGCUCUGCUCUUUUUUCCAUCUUCUCUUAUUUAAGCUAAGAAAGAUUCUGAGUUUGCAUCCAUCUCAUUACACUAGCUAGCACAAUAUAUUAGUUAAGGCAACUCUACUACAUAUCAAUUUCCCCUACUGGAUUGGUUCUAUAUUU
rnacentral:lncRNA from 1 species